rnacentral:rRNA from 1 species
CUUGGUCAUUUAGAGGAAGUAAAAGUCGUAACAAGGUUUCCGUAGGUGAACCUGCGGAAGGAUCAUUACCUAGAGUUGUAGGCUUUGCCUGCUAUCUCUUACCCAUGUCUUUUGAGUACCUUCGUUUCCUCGGCGGGUUCGCCCGCCGAUUGGACAAUUUAAACCAUUUGCAGUUGCAAUCAGCGUCUGAAAAAACUUAAUAGUUACAACUUUCAACAACGGAUCUCUUGGUUCUGGCAUCGAUGAAGAACGCAGCGAAAUGCGAUAAGUAGUGUGAAUUGCAGAAUUCAGUGAAUCAUCGAAUCUUUGAACGCACAUUGCGCCCCUUGGUAUUCCAUGGGGCAUGCCUGUUCGAGCGUCAUUUGUACCUUCAAGCUCUGCUUGGUGUUGGGUGUUUGUCUCGCCUCUGCGCGUAGACUCGCCUCAAAACAAUUGGCAGCCGGCGUAUUGAUUUCGGAGCGCAGUACAUCUCGCGCUUUGCACUCAUAACGACGACGUCCAAAAGUACAUUUUUACACUCUUGACCUCGGAUCAGGUAGGGAUACCCGCUGAACUUAAGCAUAUCA